rnacentral:lncRNA from 1 species
UUAUUUCAUCAGUCAGAGUACGACAAAUAUGAAGCACUGGUACGUGCAAGUCCGCAGUACUGUUGUGGUUUAGUAACAACGAAUGAGGAAAAACUGAAAAAUACUUAGUAUCUUGUAUGAAGGUACUUGAGUAAAAGGAAGCAAUACAAGUACAAAGUAGUGACUUCCCUGCUUGCCACCUUUUCUGAACUCCCAAUGACCACAUAUUUCAAACUAAAAUUUCUUAUCAAGUAAAGGAACUUCAUGGCAAACUAGCAACAACUCAAUCCAAAAGGGAGAACUGAAGCAAACAAAAGUAGAUGCACCUUCCUUUUCCCAACCAGGCCACCACAAAAUCCAAGCAAAUGCACAGCCCCACCUAGAGACCAAAGAAAAGGAUGAGGUGGAGAGAGAGACCAGUGCACGAUGGAUGAAGAGGCUAAGCUCUUUGUAAAGUUCAGCUAGCAAAAGCAUGUUCACUACAGAGCACAAAUAAGAACACUGUCAUGCUGUCAUGUUUCAAAAUUGACAGUAACAUAUAUCAUAAAAGAAUGAUAAGAUCAUGAAACUCAAGUAGUAUUCAUUAAUCUAGGUAGUUAAUUAUAUUGCACAACGUUUUAGCAUUUAAGUGGCAUUACCUUCACAAAAAUGAGACAGAACAACUUCAAAAACAGGUCCAGUACACAUGGAUUAGCCAAAUUCGGAUUUUCAAAAUGAUGUUAUAUCCCUGGUACUCUCUAACCUGCCAAAGAAAUGACAGUAUUUAGAGGGCACAAAUGAAGGAAAGAAAAAAAAUAUUAUGUACUUGUUUCCCUCCUCCAAACAGGUGUUCCCCCUUCAUUUAACUUCUAUCAAGAGAUCAAAUUAUGACCAUAAUAAUAGAUGACAGACCUAAAAAAAUGUUCUCAAAUUUGACGAGAGAAAGUGAGGCCUGGGAUCUUUUAUCGAACGUUUGAUCUACCUCUAGAUGCUAGGAUGAUGGCAAUGAUGAAAGGGACAUGUAUGCCGGCACUGUCGGCAAAAUCGGUGUAAUGAUUAAAAAUAUACGCACUUCAUAUAGUACAAAAAAGAAGAGGAAAACCUGAAUGAUCCAACAACUAUUGACUAUUUGACUUCAUGUACAGAAGAAAUGUAGAUUUUAACAAAAAUAGUGUGAAGAAACAAUAUGAAUGAUGGAUCUCACGUAAGGUAUAACUAUCAUCUCAUAAGCACAAUGUAAAAUUAAACUCAAGCAACAACUAUCCAGAAGACACAAGUGAUCCAACUCAUGGACAGAGCAUGAUAAUUUAAGAGAGCUUCAACAUAGUGAUAUAAUCUAGUAAUUUAUCUCUAGUAGCUAGUUACGGAUGUCACACAUCAAAUGGGAAAAUAAUUCAGUUAACCUCCGCAGAUACCUUGUAGGCACUCGUUGAAACAAAACGACUAAAAGAGAACUGACAAUGAGUAGAAUUCAGAACCAACAUGAAGCGAGUCAUGUCUGCUAAUAUCAUUUCAAACAACUUGAUUAACUUAAUACUAAUUUGACCCAUGGUAAGUUCUCAGGAAAACUAACUUACCCAGUACAACUUUCAUCAUCGUAGUUCAUCACAGAAAAUUUUGCAAAGCAAUUAAUCAAUUAAGAGUAACCAGUUAUAAAUGUUGGGAAAUACAAUGAAGACAUAAUCCCACCAGAAUCGGAAAACAAACCAAUAUGCUAGUGCAUACUUGUAACUACAGCCAUAACUUUCAGAAGUUAGGUUACUCAGCGUGCGGCGUACACAUUGAUCAAUAAAACAAAUACACAAACUUAUCGUUACAACCAUUAUUCACUGACUGGAUGCAUGCAUUCACUACAUGCAUAAUAUAAUGGACUCACGGGGUUAAGUGACUCUGCUCUGCCAAGAUCCACAUACACUGCAAAUCCCAAAAGGCCUAUCAGACUAUCACCAAUAUGUGUGAAUAUUUGGGUGCUGCCGAGACCUGCACCGCGAUCCAAAUUCAGACAAUGGAACGCCAUCAUACAGCGACACGACCAAAUGGUACAACAGACAAAUGAACGCCACCGUAGCACCAUAUUAGCAAAACAAAUGAGCAUAUGUCAACUAUUGUUGAACUUAAUCGUCCCUCCCAGUCCUUUUUUCUCUACUUGCCGACAUGUUUUUUUUAGCGUAUCUACUUGCCAACAUGUUUAGUCUACUUGUUGGAAAACAUGCACCUUGAGCCUGAUUAGCAUUUUUAUUAGGUUUUGCUGGAGCCAUUUGCACGAUAAUGAGUCACGUGCAUUAGAUGAUAUCAGGUAAUGUACAUGGUUGAUCAUACAAGAGAGAAUUGUGAUGCACUUCCACUAUUCCUUGGCUUAUAACCACCACGCAUAAGUCGAAAGAAAAAGAAGAGCACCAGAUCACCUUAAUAAAAAUUGCCGUAUGCAUAUAAUGGACGUAUUGAUAAACGUAGGUUACAAUCCAUAAAUACAUAUUAUGAAACCAACAUCUAUGUUCUUCUGGGCAAACUAAUAAGUAUACAAAUCAGUGAAUGUACGUACGUUCCAUUAAACUAAAGGUCAGUUUGGGUUUUGAAUGCAAGUGCUGAUAGAAGAUAAUUCCGGGUAUCCCAACAACCCAUUGUUUCCUUUGGCAUCAUCACCAAAUCUGGCAAGGAGGUAGGCACUAAGAAACCAACCUGAUUACGUUAGUAACCCCUUCGUCCAACAGAAGAACAACAGAGGAAAAAUAAGAAGAGGCGGACAGGUUUUCCUGACCAGCAAUGAAUGGGUCAGCCAUGGCUCAGGCUCCCAAUUGCGGAGAAGAUCAGGGGAAAAAGCAGAUCCCCUCCAACCAGUUUUUAUCAGUAAAAGAGGAGGCGGCUCCUGAGAAGAAACAAAAAUAUAUAAUAUAGCAGUUAACACAAAAUCCAAUGUCAGAGUAAGCAAUAUAGUAUACACUAACAGUCUGAAACAUGCCUUAUGGUAGCUUGUAAGAGCGGGGAUAUGUGAGCAUACACCGCGCCAUUCAAUUUUGUUACCGAAAUCGUUACAAGAAAAUAUGCAGAUUUUUAAAACAUGUAAAAAGAGAGGACAACUGUUAUUGUCAGAUGCACUGCUCAAAGUAAGGUUACAGUUUUCUGUCAGUCUUCAGUGGGUAUAUUAUUGCUCUUGAGUGAGAUAGCAGAAAUUUUUUAGCCUGAGAAAUCAUUGCUCAUUAUAAUUUGUACUUAGAUCCAUGGGUGGUAUGGUACAAGAUACAUUCGGCUGUAACCUUGAUACCAUGUCAAGUACAGAAAUGGUCAUAAAUAACACUGAAAAUAACCAUCCAGUAAUUGAAAUAGUAGUGUAAUCAAAUUCAUAUGUCUCCCAACCAUUGAAGGAAUUUGAAGUACUUAUACCUAUAAAUUGAAGCAGAUAAUUGCAGCAAAUCCUAGAUUAUAUCCUACAGAUUGCUCUUAGCCGGGCACAUGCCUGUUAGUGCAGAUUGCACAAUGGCUGAACCUAACAAACUAUGUUACAUCUCCAAUACAGUCAGUGACCAUGCAUCAUAAGCCUUCAAACAGCUACAGAAAAAGAGACGUGCGAAAGAAGAGAAAGAAAAGAGACGCGGUCAACUAUACUCGAGCUCCAGACGGAUCGUCUCUCUCCGUCACCACGCACGAGGGAUGAGGACGACGGCGGCGAUACCACGGACUGCUCGGCCUCCUGGUCCCUCUCUCCGACGCCAGGGUGUUCAAUUUUUGGUAGCAUCAUUGAGAAGCAACAAUCAAAUAUUGUGUAUACUCUCGAAGCCGAGGGACUACUGAAGUGAAAAUUCAGCAGAUUAAGCUUCAUGUUCAGAUUCUUUUAUAGUUUCUAAACCUUUAAUCUGCGUGGUCAUCUUUUUCAUUACCAGAACAGAGGAAUUAUAACAAAAUAAAGGGUAGAACUAACCUAAGGUUUUAUUGCCACUAAUCCUUCUAUAGUUUUUCAAUGGUUCAGUUAUCAUAAUUUGAUGGCUAGUCUUGUAGAAAGGAGUAAAGUUCGUAUAGAAAUCUUAAGAACACAAUAACUAAAGUGAAGUAUAACCUUCUGAAUCCUUUAAGACGUGAUUUCAUAUUAACAAGUGCAACAGGAUAAAACAACAAAACACACCUCCGCAACGGAAAGGCACAUCGAACGAAGUGAAGACGAACAGGACAGACGAUUGACGAACGAUGACAAACUGCGUGCUCACUUCACACCGACCAGGGGAAACAUAACAUAUAUGGGCACAAAGAGGAGAGAAAAUACAACCGAUGCAAAGGAGAGGGAGGUGAACUCACAAUUCCUCCUCGGCUAGUUUCAUCGACAAUGCUCUGGCUUCACCAUCUAUCCGGAAGUGAAAUUAACAUAUUAGAGUAACAAUAAAAAGAAGUGCUACCAAGAACGUACAAAAUAGAGGUAAAAGCGCUAGGGAAUCUCUGACAGGCGCUUGUUGCAAGCAUACAAAAAUGGAAAAGAAGGAUCCAAAAUUAUGAUUCAAAUCAUUAGCAGUUUCAUUGGCAUCUAUGAACCAAUUACUACAGAAAAUACAUGAUAUGCAUAUAACAUGUAAUCUUUCUCAUGUUAACAUAUAAUAUAUCAAAAUGUGUGGUCAAUCAGUAAGAUAAUCAGGGUUUUAUAGCAGGUUAGUUUAUGAAUGCUCACCUCACAAUGUCACCACUCCUUGUUCAUCUAGAAAUAACACUAUGGGUAAACUGAAGCAGCCCUUCACAUUUCACCAAAAUAUUCUAGCUUUCAAAAGUUCUGCAUAGUAACAGAAGACAGGAAACAACUCCUGAGAUGGCCUUAAAAUCACAAAGAACCAAGAGGAAGAAUACAAAUGGAGUUCAUAGUCCAAGAAAAGGCUGGGUAUUAUGUUUAGAUACGAUGUCUGAGUCAUGUGCACCUACCCGUCUGCCAAAAUGAACUCCUCGACGCGGAAACAACCUAGCCCCUAACGAUUUGGGACAUGCAACUUCGUCCUCUCUGCGAAGAAGAGGUCCACGCUGUCACCGUAUAGACACAAGCACCAUCCUGGCCUCCCUCUCCUUGAGCGCCUCCUUCUCCACCUUGCUGUCGGUGGAUGCGAUGGCAUAAGCCAGCGCACCUGGUACACCUCAUUGGUAUUAGCCCUUGAAAGGAACUACCUUAGGUUCGACCACGCAAAGCCCACCGUCUGCAC